CAGUAGCCACGGGAAUACGAAGGGGGCUAGCGUUGCUCGGAAUGACUGGGCGUAAAGGGCGCGUAGGCGGCGAUCAAAGUCAGGCGUGAAAUUCCUGGGCUCAACCUGGGGGCUGCGUUUGAUACUUGAUUGCUAGAGUGGGGAAGAGGGUCGUGGAAUUCCCAGUGUAGAGGUGAAAUUCGUAGAUAUUGGGAAGAACACCGGUGGCGAAGGCGGCGACCUGGUCCUUGACUGACGCUGAGGCGCGAAAGCGUGGGGAGCAAACAGGAUUAGAUACCCGUGUAGUCCCUGUCUCUUAUAC
rnacentral:rRNA from 1 species